GAUGAACGCUGGCUACAGGCUUAACACAUGCAAGUCGAGGGGAAACGACGGGGAAGCUUGCUUCCCCGGGCGUCGACCGGCGCACGGGUGAGUAACGCGUAUCCAACCUGCCUCUGACUGAGGGAUAACCCGUCGAAAGUCGGCCUAAUACCUCAUGGCAUCGUCUGCGGGCAUCCAACGACGAUUAAAGAUUUCAUCGGUCAGGGAUGGGGAUGCGUCUGAUUAGCUUGUUGGCGGGGUAACGGCCCACCAAGGCUACGAUCAGUAGGGGUUCUGAGAGGAAGGUCCCCCACAUUGGAACUGAGACACGGUCCAAACUCCUACGGGAGGCAGCAGUGAGGAAUAUUGGUCAAUGGGCGAGAGCCUGAACCAGCCAAGUAGCGUGCAGGAUGACGGCCCUAUGGGUUGUAAACUGCUUUUAUGCGGGGAUAAAGUGAGGGACGUGUCCUUCAUUGCAGUACCGCAUGAUAAGACCG
rnacentral:rRNA from 1 species